AAAAUUUAAAAUUAAAAUACUAAAGUAGUAAAUAAAUUUUGUUGAAAUUUAAAUAAUUUGGCGGUAUUUUAGUUCAUUUAGAGGAAUCUGUUUAAUAAUUGAUAUUCCACGAAUAAAUUUACUUGGUUUAUAAUUUUGUAUAUCGUUGUUAUAAAAAUAUUUUUUAAUGAAAUUAAUAUUUAAAAAUUAAAAUAUAAAUUUAAAUCAGAUCAAGAUGCAGUUUAUAAUUAAGAAUAUAAUGGAUUACAAUAAAUUUAUUUAAAUGGAUUUUAAUUUUUAAUAGUUAAUUGAAGGUGGAUUUAAAUGUAAUUUUAUUUAAUUUAAUAAAAUGAUUAAAAAUUAAAAUAUGU
rnacentral:rRNA from 1 species